UACGUAGGGUGCAAGCGUUGUCCGGAAUUAUUGGGCGUAAAGAGUUCGUAGGCGGUCUGUCGCGUCUGCUGUGAAAACUCAGGGCUUAACCCUGAGCUUGCAGUGGGUACGGGCAGACUAGAGUGCGGUAGGGGAGACUGGAAUUCCUGGUGUAGCGGUGAAAUGCGCAGAUAUCAGGAGGAACACCGGUGGCGAAGGCGGGUCUCUGGGCCGUAACUGACGCUGGAGGAGCGAAAGCAUGGGGAGCGAACAGG
rnacentral:rRNA from 1 species